AGUGGAGUGAUGAGUGCUGGAUAAAUUGCUAGCGGCGGACGGGUGCGUAACACGUGGGUAACCUGCCCCUAUCACUGGGAUAACACACUGAAAAGUGUGCUAAUACCAGAUAACAUAAGCUUUUGGCAUCAUUAGCUUAUCAAAGAAUUUCGGAUAGGGAUGGGCCCGCGUCUGAUUAGCUAGUUGGUGAGGUAACGGCUCACCAAGGCAACGAUCAGUAGCCGACCUGAGAGGGUGAUCGGCCACACUGGAACUGAGACACGGUCCAGACUCCUACGGGAGGCAGCAGUGGGGAAUAUUGCACAAUGGGCGAAAGCCUGAUGCAGCAACGCCGCGUGAGCGAUGAAGGCCUUCGGGUCGUAAAGCUCUGUCCUAUGGGAAGAUAAUGACGGUACCAUAGGAGGAAGCCCCGGCUAACUACGUGCCAGCAGCCGCGGUAAUACGUAGGGGGCAAGCGUUAUCCGGAAUUACUGGGCGUAAAGGGUGCGUAGGCGGUUUAUCAAGUCAGGGGUGAAAGGCUACGGCUCAACCGUAGUGAGCCUCUGAAACUGGUGAACUUGAGUGUAGGAGAGGAAAGUGGAAUUCCCAGUGUAGCGGUGAAAUGCGUAGAUAUUGGGAGGAACACCAGU
rnacentral:rRNA from 1 species